rnacentral:rRNA from 1 species
UACGUAGGGUGCGAGCGUUAAUCGGAAUUACUGGGCGUAAAGCGUGCGCAGGCGGUUCGUUGUGUCGGCGGUGAAAGCCCCGGGCUUAACCUGGGAACGGCCGUUGAAACUGGCGAACUGGAGUGUGGCAGAGGGGGGUGGAAUUCCGCGUGUAGCAGUGAAAUGCGUAGAGAUGCGGAGGAACACCGAUGGCGAAGGCAGCCCCCUGGGCUGACACUGACGCUCAGGCACGAAAGCGUGGGGAGCAAACAGG